rnacentral:lncRNA from 1 species
GGGGGCCAGAGGGAGGGCAGGAGAGGAAAGAAAAGAAAGCUGGUGAGUUUUUUGGAUACUAAGUGACCCCAUCAUGGAAAUAAACAAGCCCUUCUCUCUCAGGAUAUGUUACCAGCCAUCUCCAACUCCAACUGCAGUUGUCAGCUCCUCACCAGAAAUAGAACUACUGACCCCACGAAAAAUUCUACUGAGAGGAGAGAGAGUUAAAGAAUUUUAAUGAAGGCCUACUUUAAAAAGGGCAUCAAUGUGCUCCUCUGCACAAACGUCUCCUGUCAGCAUCCAGAGAGACCCAAAGAUGCACUUCAGGUGGGAGAGCAUCGCCCCUCUACGCAGCCAGGGAGGACUGGUCCUGUUGGGCAGCUUGGCCCUGGUACUCAGCCUCCUAACAAAGGAAGUGGGACUGUUUGAGUCCCCGUGAGCCGCCUUCCUCCAACAGCUAGGGAAACUUUAGCCACGACAAGGAUUUUUGCCCCUUGUGGAACUGUCAAAAGCAAUAAAUAUUUUUCUUUUUAUUCCAUCAUUAGACCCUCCU